CCGGGCACGGAACUCAUCAUGGCCCCGGGCACCCAGAGCCCCAACAGACACCGAGUGCAGAGCCAUCACUCGGCAACCUGGGAACCCCAGAGCUUCCCUUGGCAAAGCAGGCACAAGCACCCUGCACACAACCCUUGUCAAAUACAGAUUUGGGUGACAGGACCCAUGGAUGUUUUCACUAUACGCUGCAGUGAGAUCUGGGAAAUACUUGUUCGGCCUUGGCCUUGACAUACCACCUGGGAUCAGCUCUUUCUUUUCUUGGGUGAUCUCAAGCACACACAUUUGUGACAAUUACUUUGGGGGCAACGUGUCAUAUCAGCUAAUAUUUAUUUACUGAUUUAGUGAGAAAUAAAUCCACACUGCUCGAA